rnacentral:rRNA from 1 species
CCUACGGGAGGCAGCAGUGAGGAAUAUUGGUCAAUGGACGAGAGUCUGAACCAGCCAAGUAGCGUGAAGGAUGACUGCCCUAUGGGUUGUAAACUUCUUUUAUAAAGGAAUAAAACGAGGCCCGUGUGCCUUUUUGUAUGUACUUUAUGAAUAAGGAUCGGCUAACUCCGUGCCAGCAGCCGCGGUAAUACGGAGGUUCCGAGCGUUAUCCGGAUUUAUUGGGUUUAAAGGGAGCGUAGAUGGGUUGGUAAGUCAGUUGUGAAAGUUUGCGGCUCAACCGUAAAAUUGCAAUUGAUACUGGCAGUCUUGAGUACAGGUGAGGUAGGCGGAAUUCGUGGUGUAGCGGUGAAAUGCUUAGAUAUCACGAAGAACCCCGAUUGCGAAGGCAGCUUACUAAACUGUGACUGACAUUGAUGCUCGAAAGUGUGGGUAUCAAACAGGAUUAGAUACCCUGGUAGUC